rnacentral:rRNA from 1 species
AUUGAACGCUGGCGGCAUGCCUUACACAUGCAAGUCGAACGGCAGCACGGGUGCUUGCACCUGGUGGCGAGUGGCGAACGGGUGAGUAAUACAUCGGAACGUACCUUAUCGUGGGGGAUAACGCAGCGAAAGCUGUGCUAAUACCGCAUACGCCCUGAGGGGGAAAGCGGGGGAUCGAAAGACCUCGCGCGAUUAGAGCGGCCGAUGCCUGAUUAGCUUGUUGGUGGGGUAAAAGCCCACCGAGGCGACGAUCAGUAGCUGGGCUGAGAGGACGAUCAGCCACACUGGGACUGAGACACGGCCCAGACUCCUACGGGAGGCAGCAGUGGGGAACUUUGGACAAUGGGGGCAACCCUGAUCCAGCAAUGCCGCGUGAGUGAAGAAGGCCUUCGGGUUGUAAAGCUCUUUUGUCAGGGAAGAAACACCGGCUCUAACACAGUCCGGGAAUGACGGUACCUGAAGAAUUAGCACCGGCUAACUACGUGCCAGCCGCCGCAGUAA